AAAUCUGUGAUAUUUCAGAGAACUGUUCUCAACUAUAAAAAUAUUGAUUCAGCAACUAAAAUGUGAAAUUCUGGCAAAUCAAGCUUCUGCGUUUUUAUCAAUUUUAAGGCUCCUGAAAGUUUAAACAUGAGGGUGGCUGCUCUUCUUUUACAGCUUUCGUCAGCUCUAGCUUUCAGUUCGUAUGAAAUGUACGGGAGUGACGGGCACUGUGUAUGGUAUGAUAAAUGUGGCAAGGAUCCAACUUAUCCAGCUUCAGAUACUAAGCAUAUCUUGAACUGUGUGUACAAUGGACCUGGUAAGAAGGCUGAUGCUGAAUCCCUGGGAUUACUGAAGGAAGUUUGCCCCCAUCUUGUCCCUGAGGAUGGAUCUGUUCCUGAUCUGUGCUGCAGUACUGCUCAGUUAAAAGACCUAAAAGAAAAUUUUGCAAUUCCAAAAAGUUUAUUGGACAGAGGGUGUCCUACCUGUUAUUACAACUUCAAGAAGAAUUUUUGUGACAUGACUUGUCACCCACGACAAAGCAGAUUCGUCAGGGUGGAUAAGAGCGUUGAAGGCAAAGCAUCUGAGGUCUAUCAAGGAAAGAUAAAGGAGAUGGUGAAAGAAGUAACUGUGUUUGUUCAUGAAGAGUUCAACUCACAGACCUACGAUUCAUGCAAGAACGUUCAGUAUCCAGAGAUCAGUGACACUGUUAUGGGUUUACUCUGUGGUCCCUGGGGAAGUAGAGAUUGUACUGCUAAACGAUGGUUCGACUAUAUGGGAAGUAUCCAGAAUGGAUAUUCCCCAUUCCAGAUAUCCUACAAUUAUAGUUCUGCUGUGAAGUCUACAGAUGGGUUUGAUUACCAUAAUCCCAUUAUAAUAGAGUGUAAUAAUGCUCCACCUUUUCUUCCUGGAACUGUUCAAAGCUCGGGAUGUGGAUGUGCAGACUGUCCGGCAGCCUGUAAACUGAAUCUACCAGAGUUCCAGGAGCUGGGCUUUCAGUUUGAUAUAGUAGAGGGAGUUGAUGGUCUGGUGUUCAUCAUGAUUAUUGUGUUUGUUGUUGGUUCGAUCAUAUUUGUUGUGGUUGUAUGCGCUGCUGAUACACUGACCAAGAGUAAUCUUGCAAUGGGAGACGAAGAUAGUAUCUUUGGGGAUUCAAAGGAUCCUGGAAGUCCCCGUCGUGAGUCUGUAAGUGUACCCUUCACGACCCCAGCCUCCCCAACCAGGUCCAAAGAUCACACCGUUGUCACCUUCAACGAUCUGUCCUUCUUCACCAAGCUGGGAACAAGGUUUGAGAAUGGAAUGACUGAUAUGUUCACUUGGUGGGGUACAGUUGCCGCAAUCUAUCCUCUACCAGUUAUAUUUCUCUCAAUCGUCUUUGCUGCGGGGCUUUCUUCAGGUAUUCUGUAUCUCCAGGUUACAACUGAUCCUAUUGAGCUUUGGGCCAGCCCAUCAUCCAGGUCAAGGGUUGAAAAGGACUUUUUCGAUUCCACUUUCCGUCCUUUUUACAGAGCAAGCCAGGUGAUUAUCCAUGCCAAAGAGUCCCCUGAGUAUGGUAUCACCAAGUUUAAUUUUACGGAUCAUCUGCGGAAUGAUCUGGAGAUAGGACCAGUUUUCCAGGAGAAAUUUCUCAAGGAAGUAUUGAAACUGCAGAAGAAGAUUGAAGAAUUACAAUUUGAAUUCUUGGAUUUGGAAGGGCAUCCUGUUAAUUAUAAUCUUACUAAGGUGUGCAACAAGCCCCUGUAUCCUGACAAACAGUCUUGUAAUAUACAGAACGUGUGGGCAUAUUGGCAGGACCAAGAAGACCUUCUAGACAAAAAGCGGUUUGAUCCUGAAGGAGGUGAUGGAGGCAAACCUAGGAACUGGACGUAUCUAGAUCAUAUGCUUGCCUGUGUUAAGAAUCCAACUUUGACUGCGCCAAGUGACAAACUGAAUAUAGGGUGCAUGUCUAAGUGGGGAGGUCCUGUGAACCCCUACUAUACUCUGGGUGGGUUUAUUCCUGCGGGGGAAUCAUUCCCUGAGAAUCCUGAAUACCACAAGGCAACUGCUAUUGUGAUCUCCAUCAUCAUCGACAAUUUCGACAAGAAGAGUAAGGACACUGAGAAUGUGAACGGACUAGCCAUGGCCAUGGCUUGGGAAAAAAGGUUUAUUGAGUUUAUGCACUACUGGGUAGAGCAUGAGAAACCAGAAUACAUGGAUAUUGCUUUCAACAGUGAUAGAAGUAUUGAAGACGAGCUUGACAAGGAAACGUACGGUGAUAUUGUGACAAUAGCAAUCAGCUACAUAAUAAUGUUUGUUUACAUCACAUUCUCACUGGGACAGACCAGCAAAUGUACAGUUUCCAGGAUGAUGAUUGAAAGCAAAGUUACUCUUGGACUUGGUGGGGUUAUGAUAGUUCUACUAUCCGUAGCAGCAUCUAUAGGUACAUUUGGAUUUGCUGGUGUGCCCGCUACCCUUAUCAUCUUUGAGAUCAUUCCUUUCCUUGUUCUAGCAGUUGGUGUAGAUAACAUCUUUAUACUUGUUCAAACAUACCAGAGAGAUCCAAGGAAAGCACAUGAGACGCAUGCUGAACACGUGGGUCGGAUUGUUGGAGAAGUGGCGCCAUCUAUGCUGCUUUCAUCCGUAGCAGAAUCCACUUGUUUCUUUCUGGGUGCUCUCUCUGACAUGCCUGCGGUGCGCGCAUUUGCGCUCUACGCCGGGAUGGCGCUCAUCGUUGAUUUUCUGAUGCAGAUAACGUGCUUCGUGGCCUUGAUAUCCCUGGAUAUGAUGCGUCAGGAAAAUAAUAGAUUCGACAUCGUCUGCUGCGUCAAAGGAAGUAAGAAAGAUACCGAAGGAAGUCCUGGAAUGCUGUUUAAACUGUUUGAGCAUAUCUAUGCUCCUUUCCUCUUGAAGAAAUGGAUUAGAGCUGCUGUAGUUAUAAUAUUCUUCGGCUGGGCCUGUUCAUCCAUAGCUGUAGUUCCUAAAAUAGAAAUAGGAUUGGACCAAGAGAUCUCUAUGCCGGAUAAUUCCUUUGUUCUCAAAUACUUCACUUUUCUCAAGGAGUUCCUGUCUGUAGGUCCUCCUGUAUACUUCGUGGUUAAUAAUACCGCCGGACAACUUGAUCUUACAACAGAGGAGGCACAAAACAAACUCUGUUUAGGACUUCCAGGUUGUUUGGAGAAUUCUCUGGCCGGUCAAGUGUUCCUGUGGCAGAAGGUUCCAGUGGAUACAUAUAUUGCUACAGCACCUAUGCCCUGGAUAGAUAAUUAUAUAGGUUGGGCAACUGCUGAGGUGACUGAUAAGGUCAAAUGUUGCAGACAGUACACAGAUACACAGGAGUUCUGUCCUAGUACAGUUCAGGAGCCAAGGCAGAAUACGAGUAAACGAACUACCGACGACUGGUUUGCUGACAAUGAUGACGACAAGAAAGUUCCCAUCGUGACGACGCCUAAAUCAGCCAGGGUGGUGGCCGACGCCGAUUUUAAGAAUUAUGACGAGUUCUAUGAAGAUGUCGAAAUGGGCAAGGUUCGUGAGAAGAGAGAAGAUUAUUAUUAUGACUAUGGUAACUAUGGAGAUGAUGGUGACACUGUAGAAUUACCAGCAUCAGAUAGAGUUACACAGCAGGGGAUAUGCUCUCCCUGUUCAUCUGCUGUCAGAGGGCUCCAGGGUACAAGACCAGAUCCUGAGCAGUUUAGUCAAACUAUUCAAUGGUUUCUGAAAGCAAACCCAGACGAUUCCUGUCCCGGAGCAGGACAUGCUGCCUAUGGAGAAAGCGUGAAAGUCGGAAAGGAUAAAAGUACAGGAAGGAAUAUUGUUCUUUCUUCAAACAUGAUGGCCUUUCAUUCCAUACUAAGGACUAGCAAGGAUUACUACAUGGCUUUGGCAAGAGCACGUGAGCUAACCGACAGCGUCAUGGCUGCCAUCAAUAACGGAACAGAUCCUGAUUCUCAUGUUCAAAUCUUUCCAUACUCAGUUUUCUACGUGUUCUACGAGCAGUAUCUGACAAUGUGGAGUGAUACACUCACUUCUCUUGGAAUAUCAUUAGGAUCAAUAUUCAUUGUGACGUUCAUCUUGAUGGGGUUCGAUCUUGUCUCCUCUCUCAUCAUCAUCUUUAUCAUCUCCCUCAUCGUCCUCAACCUGGGUGGACUUAUGUAUUGGUGGCACAUCACACUAAAUGCAGUUUCUCUUGUUAACCUGGUUAUGGCUGUAGGUAUCAGUGUAGAGUUCUGCUCUCAUAUGACCAGAGCAUUCUCCGUUAAUAUCGGAGAAGAUAGGGUUGAACGAGCUAGAAAUGUGUUGACCAGCAUGGGUAGCUCAGUACUAUCUGGAAUAACUCUCACCAAGUUUGGAGGAAUUGUUGUUUUAGCCUUUGCUAAAUCCCAGAUAUUCUCAAUCUUUUACUUCAGGAUGUAUCUGGGUAUAGUUUUGAUUGGUGCAGCUCAUGGUCUUAUUCUUCUUCCGGUUCUGCUCUCCUACUGCGGACCUAGGACCAAUAUGGCGAAAAUCCUUCAAGAAAACCAGAGAAUUCAAUCUGUAAAUCCGACUUCUACCCGCCUUUGAACAUCAGUCACACUUCCACCUGCCUUUAAAUAUCAGUCACACUUCCACCCGCCUUUAAACAUCAGUCACUCUUCUACCCGCCUUUAAACAUCAGUCACACUUCCACCCGCCUUUAAACAUCAGUCAAACUUCCACCCUCCUUUAAACAUCGGUCACACUUCUACCCGCCUUUAACAUCGGUCACACUUCUACCCGCCUUUGAAUAUCGGUUACCGAUUCUUUUCAUUUUCAAUAGUCUUCACCAGUUAUAAUAUAUAUUUAUAUAUAUAUAUCAACUAUAUAUUAAUAUCAGUGCUAGAUAUUCGCACAUUUUUUACCAUAAAAUUAUUUUAGCUUAUUAAAUAUAUUUUUAAGAAUUCUGUCUCGUGGUUGCUACUUUUUGGCCGCCAAUAUAUUCCAAUAUAUACCAACCAAAACAAAAUGUUUAUUUUAUUUAACUAUGUUUUAUAAAGAAACAUUAAAAAAAAGAUAAAUCUAUUUAAAUCAUUUAUUGAUCGAAAAAAAAUCUUCAUUGUUAUUUUGCUUCUUGUCUCGUCACAGUUAUUUUUAUUAUUUAAAGUAUUUUAUGAUUUUUAUUGUACUUAAACAAAUGAAUAGUGAGAAAUAGUAUUAUUAAAUAUUUAGCUAAACACAAUAAGUUUUAUCAUAAUAGUUUUAUUCGCAUUUAGCUUAGAAGUUUACACUGUUAGACGAAAUAUUAACUUUUUGUUUAAAAUAUCAUACGACAAAAGUUUUUCGAUAUUUCGAAAAUUUUGUUCGAAUUUUGAAUAUUAGGAUAGAGCUAUCUUACAAAUUUUUAAUUUAGAACAAAAUAUUCUUUGUUUUGAAAUGCCUUUGGUACUUGGAUAUUUUGCACAACAUGUUCUUAUCUUCUAACAGAGUAUAUUUUAUCUGUUGUCAUAUUUUAUGAAAUAGACUAAACUUAUUUAACAAAAUAUCUGAGUAUUGUUGAAAUUAUAAAAUAUAAAAAUUGUAAUUGUAAUAUUUAAAAUCUGUUGUGAUUUCAUGUAUGUACAUUGAUAAAACAACUCAUGUCUUAUGUACAUUGUAUAAAUGUCUUGUUAUGUUUGAAUAUUUUGUAAUGCGCGCCCUACACUUUACUGUACUCCACGCCGUACACUGUACUCCUCACCGUACACUGUACUGUACAAUGAUUGUAAGUUCUGAUGUAAAGUAAUUAAAACAAAUAUAUAUCUCGUACAACUGG